rnacentral:rRNA from 1 species
GACAAUGGGCGAAAGCCUGAUCCAGCCAUGCCGCGUGUGUGAAGAAGGUCUUCGGAUUGUAAAGCACUUUAAGUUGGGAGGAAGGGCUGCUGGUUAAUACCCUGCAGUUUUGACGUUACCAACAGAAUAAGCACCGGCUAACUUCGUGCCAGCAGCCGCGGUAAUACGAAGGGUGCAAGCGUUAAUCGGAAUUACUGGGCGUAAAGCGCGCGUAGGUGGUUCGUUAAGUUGGAUGUGAAAGCCCCGGGCUCAACCUGGGAACUGCAUCCAAAACUGGCGAGCUAGAGUACGGUAGAGGGUGGUGGAAUUCCCUGUGUAGCAGUGAAAUGCGUAGAUAUGGGAAGGAACACCGGUGGCGAAGGCGACCCCCUGGACCAAUACUGACACUCAGGAGCGAAAGCGUGGGGAGCAAACAGGAUUAGAUACCCUGGUAGUCCACGCCGUAAACGAUGUCAACUAGCCGUUGGAAUCCUUGAGAUUUUAGUGGCGCAGCUAACGCAUUAAGUUGACCGCCUGGGGAGUACGGCCGCAAGGUUAAAACUCAAAUGAA